rnacentral:rRNA from 1 species
GACGAACGCUGGCGGCGUGCCUAAUACAUGCAAGUCGAACGAACUCUGGUAUUGAUUGGUGCUUGCAUCAUGAUUUACAUUUGAGUGAGUGGCGAACUGGUGAGUAACACGUGGGAAACCUGCCCAGAAGCGGGGGAUAACACCUGGAAACAGAUGCUAAUACCGCAUAACAACUUGGACCGCAUGGUCCGAGUUUGAAAGAUGGCUUCGGCUAUCACUUUUGGAUGGUCCCGCGGCGUAUUAGCUAGAUGGUGGGGUAACGGCUCACCAUGGCAAUGAUACGUAGCCGACCUGAGAGGGUAAUCGGCCACAUUGGGACUGAGACACGGCCCAAACUCCUACGGGAGGCAGCAGUAGGGAAUCUUCCACAAUGGACGAAAGUCUGAUGGAGCAACGCCGCGUGAGUGAAGAAGGGUUUCGGCUCGUAAAACUCUGUUGUUGAAGAAGAACAUAUCUGAGAGUAACUGUUCAGGUAUUGACGGUAUUUAACCAGAAAGCCACGGCUAACUACGUGCCAGCAGCCGCGGUAAUACGUAGGUGGCAAGCGUUGUCCGGAUUUAUUGGGCGUAAAGCGAGCGCAGGCGGUUUUUUAAGUCUGAUGUGAAAGCCUUCGGCUCAACCGAAGAAGUGCAUCGGAAACUGGGAAACUUGAGUGCAGAAGAGGACAGUGGAACUCCUUGUGUGGCGGUGAAAUGCGUAGAUUAUAUGGAAGAACACCAGUGGCGAAGGCGGCUGUCUGGUCUGUAACUGACGCUGAGGCUCGAAAGUAUGGGUAGCAAACAGGAUUAGAUACCCUGGUAGUCCAUACCGUAAACGAUGAAUGCUAAGUGUUGGAGGGUUUCCGCCCUUCAGUGCUGCAGCUAACGCAUUAAGCAUUCCGCCUGGGGAGUACGGCCGCAAGGCUGAAACUCAAAGGAAUUGACGGGGGCCCGCACAAGCGGUGGAGCAUGUGGUUUAAUUCGAAGCUACGCGAAGAACCUUACCAGGUCUUGACAUACUAUGCAAAUCUAAGAGAUUAGACGUUCCCUUCGGGGACAUGGAUACAGGUGGUGCAUGGUUGUCGUCAGCUCGUGUCGUGAGAUGUUGGGUUAAGUCCCGCAACGAGCGCAACCCUUAUUAUCAGUUGCCAGCAUUAAGUUGGGCACUCUGGUGAGACUGCCGGUGACAAACCGGAGGAAGGUGGGGAUGACGUCAAAUCAUCAUGCCCCUUAUGACCUGGGCUACACACGUGCUACAAUGGAUGGUACAACGAGUUGCGAACUCGCGAGAGUAAGCUAAUCUCUUAAAGCCAUUCUCAGUUCGGAUUGUAGGCUGCAACUCGCCUACAUGAAGUCGGAAUCGCUAGUAAUCGCGGAUCAGCAUGCCGCGGUGAAUACGUUCCCGGGCCUUGUACACACCGCCCGUCACACCAUGAGAGUUUGUAACACCCAAAGUCGGUGGGGUAACCUUUUAGGAACCAGCCGCCUAAGGUGGGACAGAUGAUUAGGGUG